rnacentral:rRNA from 1 species
GAAAGUUGAAAAGCACUUUGAAGAGAGAGUUCAAGAGUACGUGAAACCGUUUAGGGGUAAACCUGAGAAACCCGAAAGGUCGAAGGGAGAAAUUCAUUCGCGUUUCGCAGCUGGCGUGAAGCGGUCGAGUGACGGAGGACGUUCGCGUUUUCCGCACCUUCCGUUUUUCGAUCUGGCAGCGAACGCGUGCACUUUUCUUCUGGUAGGACGUCGCGAUCCGUUGAGUGUCGGUUUACGGCUUGCGGUGGAGCCCGUACGUACGGUUCGCCGUUACUGUGCGGACCCGUUUGUCCCAACUGACUCGCUCGACGGUAUACGAACGGUUUUGGGCCGCUUUAAGCGUUCGGCUCGUUACAAGCGCGCCAGAUGUGUCGGCCAUCGGACCUAGUGCCGGUUCUGACCUCUGGUGACUGUUGGUAACGAAGUUCUCGAACAGACCUUAAACCGAUCUGCGACGCUAUAGCUUUGGGUACUUUCAGGACCCGUCUUGAAACACGGACCAAGGAGUCUAGCAUGUACGCAAGUCAUUGGGAAUCACUAAACCUAAAGGCGUAAUGAAAGUAAAGGUCUUCCUAGCGAAGACUUAGGGAAGAUAAGCGGUUCGUUUCGGCGGCCGCUUCGCACUCCCGGGGCGUCUCAUUCUCAUUGCGAGAAGAGGCGCACCAAGAGCGUACACGCUGGGACCCGAAAGAUGGUGAACUAUGCCUGGUCAGGACGA